AGUCGAACGGGCGCAGCAAUGCGCUAGUGGCGGACGGGUGAGUAACGCGUGAGAAUCUGCCUCUAGGACGGGGAAAACAGUUGGAAACGACUGCUAACCCCCGAUGAGUCAACCUGUAAGGGAAGAUAAAAUAUUUAUAGCCUAGAGAUGAGCUCGCGUCUGAUUAGCUAGUUGGUGGGGUAAAAGCCUACCAAGGCGACGAUCAGUAGCUGGUCUGAGAGGAUGAUCAGCCACACUGGGACUGAGACACGGCCCAGACUCCUACGGGAGGCAGCAGUGGGGAAUUUUCCGCAAUGGGCGAAAGCCUGACGGAGCAAGACCGCGUGAGGGAGGAAGGUUCUUGGGAUUGUAAACCUCUUUUCUCUGGGAAGAAAAAAUGACGGUACCAGAGGAAUAAGCAUCGGCUAACUCCGUGCCAGCAGCCGCGGUAA
rnacentral:rRNA from 1 species